UACGAAGGGGGCUAGCGUUGCUCGGAAUCACUGGGCGUAAAGGGCGCGUAGGCGGACUCUUAAGUCGGGGGUGAAAGCCCGGGGCUCAACCCCGGAGGGUCACUGGAAACCAACAGUCUUGAAUCUGGAAGAGGAGAGUGGAAUUCCUGGUGUAGCGGUGGAAUGCGCAGAUAUCAGGAGGAACACCAAUGGCGAAGGCAGCUCUCUGGUACAUGAUUGACGCUGAGACGCGAAAGCGUGGGGAGCGAACAGG
rnacentral:rRNA from 1 species